rnacentral:lncRNA from 10 species
CAAAGUCAUUGCCCUCCAUGAACUAACAAUCUACAGGGAGCUGUAAAACAAGUACAUGUGCAAUUCCCGGCCUGGGUUUGAAUCCCAGCACUUCUAGCUGCACAACUUUACCCAAGAGGCUUAUUCUUUCUGAGCCUCUGGCUCUGCAUCUGUAAAAUGGACUUUACAUUCAGUUUCUUUAUCUGGCAAUAAGCUGCCUGUGGAAAGAAAGGCUUCUUCUUCCAACAGAUGAGUAUUCUGCAGUGUGUGGGGAGCUGGCAGUGUGAUGAAGGGGACAGGAUUCUAGAUGAGCUACUCCACUCUGAAGACCCUAUGACUGUAUCCACUGGCAAGAAGUUUGAAUAAAGGCCCUUUUACUCUUUCAUGCCAGCUCUUGAAAGAGGCCUAACCAAGGCUCUAAAGAAAUUGGAUGACUACCUGAACACCCCUCUACCAGAGGAGAUUGACGCCAACACUUGUGGGGAAGACAAGGGGUCCCGGCGCAAGUUCCUGGAUGGGGAUGAGCUGACCCUGGCUGACUGCAAUCUGUUGCCCAAGCUCCAUGUGGUCAAGACCCACCUUCUCACUUCCUCCAGCAACUUCCUAAGAUUGUGGCCAAGAAAUACCGCAACUAUGAUAUCCCGGCUGAGAUGACAGGCCUGUGGCGGUACCUCAAGAACGCCUAUGCCCGUGAUGAGUUCACCAACACCUGUGCAGCUGACAGUGAGAUCGAGUUGGCCUACGCUGAUGUCGCCAAACGCCUCAGCCGAUCCUGAGCACAGCCAUUUUGCCCCAUCCCCGCUGCAGAAGGACUCAACCACUCCCCUAAGACUCCAGCUUCAUAGACUCCUCUGUAUCACUGCCUUGAGGCGCACUUUUUAUAAUCAAGCCUCAUCUUGCUGGUAUCAUGGGAACUCCAGCCUGCUAUCUUUCAUGAAGGUCAGCACCAUCCCUGGCCUCCUCACAUAGGAAUCUAGCAGAAAUGAUAGACACAGUCCACCUUUCGGCCGGCCAGCCUGAUCUGGGCUCAGCAUGUUUGGGGUCAGUCAGUGUUGGAGAGCCCACAUAUGGGAUUGCCACUAGCUUCUUCUGCCAAUAUCAAAAUACCUUCUCAGAUGCUUUAGAAACAUGCAACACCAACUCCUUUUCUACCCUCCUCUCCGUCCAUACCUACAAGGCCAAGGACAAACGCCAUCUUCAUCCUUCUUAGAAAGAGAUCUAUUACCCCAUUAGGGGAGACAGAGAGAGUGAAUGGAGGAGUACCGAGCUGGCUAUGGACUUGGGUGUCUGGCAAACACAGCUUCAGUCUCACUACUUCUGACACUCUGGUUAUUGGGCACUAAGGGCCAGACUGGAAAGUCACUUGAGACACAUUCUCAGUUUGUUGCAGUGCCAGGAAUGCUGCGCUGCUGCUGCUGCGCACCUGGCCCAUGCUGUCCCUGGCUUCCAUGCCGUCCAGGCCCUGCCAGAAAAGGAAAUUGGCAUGCAAUUCUAAACUGCAGUGACUGGGAUGGGAGGGGAGGGGAGCAGUGUUGAUGCCAAAAUACCCACGGGGUCUACCAGCCAUGGGGUUUGCUUGCUUAGGAGUAGUUGUUUCAGAGGUGAUUACAGGCCUGGGUUUGACUGUGCUUACCAAUGAGUGGUUUUUGAGCUAUGAGAAAGUGGAUGGGAGUGGGAGGAGGAGAGAUGGGUGAAGACAAAAGAGUUCUUUAUGAGCCUCGAUGUUCCCUGGUAAACUUUUAAAAAGGCCUUCUCUCAUGAUCUAAGUCUUGGACUGGUGGCAUCAUGUAACUGCUAACCUUACAGUAAAAACCCAAGAAUGGGUCAAAAAUGUCUUCCCAGUUUCUCCAAGCUGCUUCUGGAAUGCAGGUCUGUCGGCUGGGUGCUCUCCAGCAGCUGCUCCUGCCUGAUUCAACUGUAGCCUGUAAUGGGUAAAAGCCACAUUUAGGAGGUGGUCUGAUCAUAGAACACCUUAGGAAGAAAGUCCAUGAGACUUUCUGACUAGGAAACCAUGUGGUUUGAACUUGAAGAAAAAUGUAGACCCAUCUGGGUUAAUUUUCCUACAAUCUGACUCAACUGCCAGGUGAAAAAAAAAAGGAAAAAUUUUUAAGCUAAUAUUUCACUCUUUUGUCAUUCUCCUUAAGUUUCAUCUCCUAAAAAGCUUACCCAGCCUGAGCUUGGGGACCUGUGCAGAGGAAACUAAGAAAAAUGCACUCAUCAACUCCUUCUCCCAGUGAACGCCCGGUGAGAAAAUCCAUUUGCCACAGGCCCUUACCUUCAACAAUCCCCCUUCUAUAGUGUUCGCUGGUAAAGGGUGAGGCUCCCAAGUGCUGGAAAGCCCCUGGACUUGGCUCAUUUCUCAGCAAGGGCAGGAUAGCACGGGUCCUUUCCAUAGAAAUAUCAACAAAUUCUAACCCAAGCAAUCCCUGGACCUACCUGCCUCCAGGGAUCUCUGAAGAAAAAAAGUAACCCAUUGAUCAAAUCAGAGGAGAGGAAGCAGGAGGUCUCCUAGAGCCCAUUGAGGAAGAGGAACUUUCUCAGUAGGACACUUUAUAAGCCUGAGAAAGCUUUGAAAAGGCGGAAUGAGUUGAUUCAUUUCCACCUCAAAAGGAACCUUUCCAGGUCCCCCUGGAAAUUGUGCCCUGGAGAUGUUUAACAAGGAGAACUGGUGAGGAAAGAGUCCUUUUUUACUGUAGGGAAAAGCCCCAAACUGGCCUCCUGGGGGAUGAGGGCUGAAAUGAUCCCGAAGGCCUUUUAAUUAGUGUGAAAUCCUGCUGUACUCAGAAAUCCUUCCCCGAAUUUACAGCACAGGCAGGAUGACCUAAGAGGCAGUUUACUUCCCUGAGACCCACAGUUGGGCUGUUCUGGAAACACAUCUGUGAAUCAUAGCCAAUUGCCACAGAGAAAACAGAACCAAGCCUCCGGUGAGGCCACUCCACCCCAGAGAAGUCUGCAGAAUUCCAAGGACUCGGAUUGGAUGUUCAGAAUUCAGCAACUGGAAAGUCCUUAAAAACAAACAGGCCAAACCAAAUCAAUAUUGCUGUUUCUAGAUGUCCCUUCUGUGGUUGAGCUAGUUUUACAGAGAUAAAUAUAUUAAGACAAGGAGGUGGGGGUGUUAUAUGAUCAAUGAUAGCCAUUUGAAAGAGAGGGAGGAGUACAGAAGGAAGGCACUUCUGGGUACUUAAUUCAGAAAUUUCUUUAUAUUUCAGCACUGGAUUAUCAUAUAAUGCAAGUGACUAUGGACUAAGAGUUAGUUAUGGUGUCUUAUGACUAGAUUUAUUAUGGUAUAUUAAAGUAACAAUAAUAUUAAUAUUACCUUCCUUUUUUUUUUUGUUUCAAAAGAGAUCUUUCUCCAGAUGCUUCAGCCUGUCUGGCCUUCUUAUCAUAUGUGCAGCACAUCAUGUCUCAGCAACAGUGUGGUGAGGUCCUUAGGUGUCCCAAGAACAACUCAGGGAGCACGGGAGGGUCUGCAGUUGGGACCCCACAACUAUACAGCUAUAGGGUAGGAGGCUUCCUUUUCAUUGGUCCUGAAUGAAUACAAAUCGCUCAGAAAGCAUUUUGGUGGCACAGAAAGGGGAUGUAUUUGUGUUGAGAUCUUAUUUUAUUUUGUAUUUAUUUAUCUUCUUUGACUUGCACAGCACUAUUGGGGGUGGGGGAAGCAGGGUAGUGGGAGACGAAGGCAGAAGCAAGAGUCAAACUCAGAAUGACUGAGUUGAAUUCACUGUCUAGUCAGCAAUGCCUGCUUCUGAGUUUGGCCCAGAGAGAAGGUAUUGAGUAAGAUUUUAAUAACUGUAAAAAGUAAGCUGGAUAAGUAAAAUCAUGAUGGAUCCAAAGCACAGUUUCUUCAUCUCCUGAUAAAGAAAGUCAAAUGCUUGAUAAAUUCAGAGUCACAGAUGUGAGCAUAGCUAUAUUCUUUUAAACGAGAGGUAGAGUGACCUAGCACUAAGCAAAUGAGCUGAAAUGUCGGAAACAGAGUCCAUCAGCUUAUUUGGCCACACGAUCCCAAACUAGUUUUAUCUUGGGAAAUGGCCCUGUCCUCAGCAUUCCCUUCUUGUGCUGGUGGGGCCAGUGAAGUCUUGAUCUUAUCAGAAAAAGGCCACACCAAGUGCGAGUUUUCCCAGGCUGACUUUCCAGGCCCUUAUCAAAUGAAACAACAGAAGCUCUUCACAGUUCUGUGCCCCAUGGCCACUCCACAGACAGACAAUACCAAGCAUCUUAGAACUGUCAUAAGAUAGGUCAUGCCUGAAAUAGAUCUUGACCAUAUGAGAGUCCCAGAAAUCAGCAAGGCCUGGACAAAUAGAACUAAGAGAGAGGCAGAGGCAGGAAGCUGCGGGUCUAUCUUGUAAAGAGUUUAGCAUCACUGUGAGAGUGUGUGUCUAAAAUUAAAUUAAACUAGAAGCAGCAGGUGAGUAUUUGGUAAGUACUUCUGUGACUCGCCUCAAUUCCCACUGGCCAGGGGCCAUCUCAACUGCACGGUGAAUCAAGAUGCUGGUGUCAUCCUCCUUGGAAAAAGGAAAUGUUAACUCAUGGUUAAAACUAAGUACAAUGAUUCCCAAGGGAUCACUUUCUUAUUUUUUUAAAUGACAUUAAGGAGAAUCUUAAGAAAGCAUCAGAGAAAGACAUGUGCAUGUGAAGCACCCUGAUUCUGAUGUUAGGAAAACUUAAGCGAACAGGACCUGCUGCACACAGCCCCAUUGUCUUCUAUCCAUUUCUCUUUAUCAUUCAAAUCAAGCAACAUGUGCCCUCCUCAUCAACACACAUUCUUCCCCUUUGUCAGUAUGCAUCUCCCAGCUUAGUGUCAGGAUACUUUCGAUUCAUAAUUAUGUAUGAUCCAAAGUGUGCAUAAUUUCAUUUAACGUUAAAGAAAUAGAUCCAAUUCCUUUCUUGCAACCAAAAAUAAAUAAAAUACGUUGCCUCAAUAUAAGGUUUGGGCUAUUCUGUGUUUCUAUAGAAGCAAUCUGUUUUUGGUAAAAUGUACUUUUAAGGAUCCAGUCAUCUGAAGUAUUUUAUGUAGAGUUAGAGAUUUCACAAUAUUGACUAUACAUAUAUUUAAAAUAUAAAUUAUCCAGCUGAUGUUUGAAUUUGUCUUACUUUCCUGGCCACCUCGUUGUCCUAUUUUAUAAGCUGGGGAGUUAACUAGCUUAACAAAAGAUGCUUAGCUUUUGUAAAAGAACAAGUGUUUCAUUUUACAAAGACACUCCAAAUGAUAGUUACUUGAUUUUCUCGAGACCUUUAACUAUGGUGAUGAAUAACAGGACUUGCUUUCAAGCCUUAAUAAAUGUAAAAUGCCUUUUAAUGAAGAUACAGCUGAGUGUUUUCCUCAUGAAUCUGAACCAAUUACCAAUUUGUGUUCCAGUCUUGAUUGGUAUUGACUGAUUCAAAUAAAGUUGGUUUAUUUUCAAAUAUUACAA